rnacentral:tRNA from 1 species
GGCUCCAUAGUUCAACGGAUAGAAUAGCGGUUUCCUAAACCGUAGAUCCAGGUUCGAUUCCUGGUGGAGCUACAA